CUUUUACUUGCAGUAUAUCUAUUCCCAAGCAGCUUGAAUCCUGAAAUUCUUGAAGGCCUUCUUGGAGCAGUUGGUAGAGUGAUGGCUUUUCUAACUCUGCAUGAGAUGCUUCCAUUGGCAUUUGACUAUGCGGGGCAAAAGAAAUCUAUAAAGGCGGUGUUCUUGGGAAUGGCUUUCAUGUCAGCAAGCUUAUAUUUUCUUGAAAUCAGCUUGCCCAAGGAGAUGAGCUUAUAGGGUUUGAUCAAUUUGCAUCAGGAUUCUACAUUGUACAUGUAUAUUGUUCGUAUAUGGAUUUUGUCGAUAAAGAUAGUGAACUGAAUUAGGUGAUGCACGGAGCAAACCGUGAUAUUUUUUGGCUUCAAAGAGAUUUUGGC